AUACGGAGGGAGCAAGCGUUAUUCGGAAUCACUGGGCGUAAAGGACGCGUAGGCGGGUUUGUAAGUCAGGUGUGAAAUCCUACAGCUCAACUGUAGAACUGCACUUGAAACUACAGACCUAGAGUAUGGAAGGGGCAGAUGGAAUUAGUGGUGUAGGGGUAAAAUCCGUAGAUAUCACUAGGAAUACCGAAAGCGAAGGCGAUCUGCUGAGACAUUACUGACGCUGAGGCGUGAAAGCGUGGGGAGCAAACAGAAUUAGAAACCCUAGUAGUCC
rnacentral:rRNA from 1 species